rnacentral:rRNA from 1 species
AUUGAACGCUGGCGGCAGGCCUAACACAUGCAAGUCGAACGAGUGGCGGACGGGUGAGUAAUGUCUGGGCAACUGCCUGAUGGCGGGGGAUAACUACUGGAAACGUUCGCUAAUCCCGCAUACCCUCCGAUGUGCCCAGAUGGGUUUAGCUAGUUGGUGGGGUACCGGCUAACCAAGGCGACGAUCCCUAGCUGGUCUGAGAGGAUGACCAGCCAAAAUGGAACUGAGACACGGUCCAGACUCCUACGGGAGGAAGCAGUGGGGAAUAUUGCACAAUGGGCGCAAGCCUGAUGCAGCCAUGCCGCGUGUAUGAAGAAGGCCUUCGGGUUGUAAAGUACUUUCAGCGGGGAGGCGUUACCCGCAGAAGAAGCACCGGCUAACUCCGUGCCAGCCGCCGCGGUAAUUC